GUUCUCCACCAGACAAAUGGGAGCCAUCAUUUGUGGUGUGGCCAUAGCAACUGCCAAGCUAGAAGAAUCUGAACGAAGAAUUCAAAGUCAUUUUCAGCCUGUGUUACUCAAGCCCAAGUUCUAGAGAAGAUUUGGUAAGACAUGGGCUGCCAGCAUGAAGAAAGAUGGUCUUCAAUGGAAUAAAACCCAAACAACAGCCAUCUUCAUAAUAUGCUACAAUAUGCUAAGCCUUGUAAUGAAUGCCUUACCUUGUGAAACCCACAAUCUGUAAGUGUCUACAGGUUACAGGUUACUGCAUGCUGCCAAUAAGGUAGGUGAGUUUCCAAAGCCUUAAUGACCCAGCAAAAUGGCAGAGCAGUGGGUUCUAAGCACUUAUUCACUCUGUAAAUUUAAAAUGGCUGAAAAUGUAUGGGAGUGUUGGAACACACCCAUGAACCACGCACACACUGAGAUGUCCAAAUGAAUAAACAGUGUGAAUUACA